GGGUCAGUAGGUUGGUCGUGCCACCGGUACGUACUGGUCUCACUGAUUCCUCCUUCCUGAAGAACCGUAAUGCCAUUAAUUUGGUGUUGCGGGGAAACAGGACUGUUACUUUGAAAAAAUUGGAGUGUUUAAAGCAAGCUAACGCUUGAAUACAUUAGCAUGGAAUAAUGAAAUAGGACGAUCGAUCCUAUUUUGUUGGUUUCUAGGAUUGACGCA
rnacentral:rRNA from 1 species